AUUGAACGCUGGCGGCAGGCCUAACACAUGCAAGUCGAACGAGUGGCGGACGGGUGAGUAAUGUCUGGGAAACUGCCCGAUGGAGGGGGAUAACUACUGGAAACGGUAGCUAAUACCGCAUCCCAUCGGAUGUGCCCAGAUGGGAUUAGCUUGUAGGUGAGGUAACGGCUCACCUAGGCGACGAUCCCUAGCGGGUCUGAGAGGAGGACCAGCCACAGUGGAAGUGAGACACGGGCCAGACUCCGACGGGAGGUAGCAGUGGGGAAUAUUGCACAAGGGGCGAAAGCUUGAUGCAGCCAUGCCGGGUGUAUGAAGAAGGUAUUCGGGUUGUAAAGGACUGUAAGCGGGGAGGCGUUACCCGAAGAAGAAGCACAGGAGAACUCCGUGCCAGCAGCCGCGGUAAUUA
rnacentral:rRNA from 1 species